AAAUAGCUCCUUAAUUGGGAGAUGGAAUGAACGGUAGUACUGACUAUAUUAUGAAGAAUUAUUUGUGAAUUUUUAGUCUCAAUGAAAAUAUUAAGAUGCUAUUUUUAGACAAAAAGACCCUAUGAAGCUUUAUAACUUGCAACACUUCUACAUGUCCCAAGGUUAUUUUUUUGGGGUAAAAGGUAAUAAUGGUAUUACAGCAUUUAAGUGAUAAACAUCCACAGGUGAAUUAAUAGUAAGCUCCUCUAGGGAUAACAGCAUAAUCUUAGCCGAGAGAUCCUAUUGAAGC
rnacentral:rRNA from 1 species